rnacentral:rRNA from 1 species
UACAGAGGUCUCGAGCGUUAGGCGGAAUCACUGGGCUUAAAGCGUGUGUAGGCGGAUCGUUAAGUGCCUUGUGAAAUCCCACGGCUCAACCGUGGAACUGCUUGGCAUACUGGCGGUCUUGAGCAACCUAGGGGCGAGCGGAACAAAUGGUGGAGCGGUGAAAUGCGUAGAUAUCAUUUGGAACGCCAAUGGUGAAAACAGCUCGCUGGGGGUUUGCUGACGCUGAGACACGAAUGCCAGGGGAGCAAACGGG